ACGCUAAACAGUUUUGAAACACA
rnacentral:snRNA from 1 species